rnacentral:rRNA from 2 species
UACGGGGGGUGCAAGCGUUGUUCGGAAUUAUUGGGCGUAAAGCGCGUGUAGGCGGUUUGAUUAGUCUGAUGUGAAAGCCCUGGGCUCAACCCAGGAAGUGCAUUGGAAACUGUCAGACUUGAAUACGGGAGAGGGUAGUGGAAUUCCUAGUGUAGGAGUGAAAUCCGUAGAUAUUAGGAGGAACACCGGUGGCGAAGGCGGCUACCUGGACCGAUAUUGACGCUGAGACGCGAAAGCGUGGGUAGCAAACAGG